AACGAACGCUGGCGGCAGGCCUAACACAUGCAAGUCGAGCGAGGACUUCGGUUCUAGCGGCGGACGGGUGAGUAACGCGUGGGAAUGUGCCCUUCUCUACGGAAUAGCCCUGGGAAACUGGGAGUAAUACCGUAUACGCCCUUUUGGGGAAAGAUUUAUCGGAGAAGGAUCAGCCCGCGUUGGAUUAGGUAGUUGGUGGGGUAAUGGCCUACCAAGCCGACGAUCCAUAGCUGGUUUGAGAGGAUGAUCAGCCACACUGGGACUGAGACACGGCCCAGACUCCCCCGGGGGGCCGCAGGGGGGAAUCUUAGACAAGGGGGGCAACCCUAAUCUAGCCAUGCCGGGGGAGUGAGGAAGGCCUUAGGGUUAUAAAGCUCUUUCAGCGGGGAAGAUAAUGACGGAACCAGCAGAAGGAGCCCCGGCAAACCCCGU
rnacentral:rRNA from 1 species